AUUGAACGCUGGCGGCAGGCCUAACACAUGCAAGUCGAACGAGUGGCGGACGGGUGAGUAAUGUCUGGGAAACUGCCUGAUGGAGGGGGAUAACUACUGGAAACGGUAGCUAAUACCGCAUACCAUCGGAUGUGCCCAGAUGGGAUUAGCUAGUAGGUGGGGUAAAGGCUCACCUAGGCGACGAUCCCUAGCUGGGCUGCGAGGAUGACCAGCCAAACUGGAACUGAGGAACGGUCCAGACUCCUACGGGAGGCAGCAGGGGGGAAAAUUGCACAAUGGGCGCAAGCCGGAUGCAGCAAGGCCGCGGGGAUGAAGAAGGCCUUCGGGUUGGAAAGUCCUUGCAGCGGGGAGGCGUUAACCGCAGAAGAAGCACCGGCUAACUCCGGGCCAGCAGCCGCGGGAAAUUC
rnacentral:rRNA from 1 species